rnacentral:rRNA from 1 species
CGGGGGGUGGCUACCAUGCAGUCGAACGGCAGCACAGGAGAGCUUGCUCUCUGGGUGGCGAGUGGCGGACGGGUGAGGAAUACAUCGGAAUCUACUCUGUCGUGGGGGAUAACGUAGGGAAACUUACGCUAAUACCGCAUACGACCUACGGGUGAAAGCAGGGGACCUUCGGGCCUUGCGCGAUUGAAUGAGCCGAUGUCGGAUUAGCUAGUUGGCGGGGUAAAGGCCCACCAAGGCGACGAUCCGUAGCUGGUCUGAGAGGAUGAUCAGCCACACUGGAACUGAGACACGGUCCAGACUCCUACGGGAGGCAGCAGUGGGGAAUAUUGGACAAUGGGCGCAAGCCUGAUCCAGCCAUACCGCGUGGGUGAAGAAGGCCUUCGGGUUGUAAAGCCCUUUUGUUGGGAAAGAAAUCCAGCUGGCUAAUACCCGGUUGGGAUGACGGUACCCAAAGAAUAAGCACCGGCUAACUUCGUGCCAGCAGCCGCGGUAAUACGAAGGGUGCAAGCGUUACUCGGAAUUACUGGGCGUAAAGCGUGCGUAGGUGGUUAUUUAAGUCCGUUGUGAAAGCCCUGGGCUCAACCUGGGAACUGCAGUGGAUACUGGAUGACUAGAAUGUGGUAGAGGGUAGCGGAAUUCCUGGUGUAGCAGUGAAAUGCGUAGAGAUCAGGAGGAACAUCCAUGGCGAAGGCAGCUACCUGGACCAACAUUGACACUGAGGCACGAAAGCGUGGGGAGCAAACAGGAUUAGUUACU